AUUGAACGCUGGCGGCAGGCCUAACACAUGCAAGUCGAACGAGUGGCGGACGGGUGAGUAAUGUCUGGGAAACUGCCCGAUGGAGGGGGAUAACUACUGGAAACGGUAGCUAAUACCGCAUACCAUCGGAUGUGCCCAGAUGGGAUUAGCUAGGAGGUGGGGUAACGGCUCACCUAGGCGACGAUCCCUAGCUGGUCUGAGAGGAUGACCAGCCACACUGGAACUGUGACACGGUCCAGACUCCUACGGGAGGCAGCAUUGGGGAAUAUUGCACAAUGGGCGAAAGCCUGACGCAGCCAUGCCGCGUGUAUGAAGAAGGCCUUCGGGUUGUAAAGUACUUUCAGCGGGGAGGCGUUACCCGCAGAAGAAGCACCGGCUAACUCCGUGCCAGCAGCCGCGGUAAUAC
rnacentral:rRNA from 1 species